rnacentral:rRNA from 12 species
UUUUGUUCUUGCACGGCGUGUGCCCGGACCUGUCUGGUCUUGGAAGCCAAGCAGGGUCGUGCCUGGUCAGUUCUUGGAUGGGAGACCACCUCGGAAGAUCAGCGGGUUGCGUCAGGAA